GCGCCUGUAGCUCAAUGGAUAGAGCGCAGGUCUCCGGAACCUGAAAUCGGGGUUCGAAUCCCUGCAGGCGCA
rnacentral:tRNA from 2 species